rnacentral:rRNA from 1 species
AGCGAACGUUAGUGGCAGGCUUAACACAUGCAAGUCGAGCGAGAAAGGGUUUCGGCCCUGAGUAAAGCGGCGGACGGGUGCGUAACACGUGGAUAAUCUACCCUUUGGCAGGGGAUAACAGUCCGAAAGGAUUGCUAAUACCGCAUAAGUCGACAGGUACGAUGUAUCUGUCGGGAAAGGGGGCGCUCGUAAGAGGCUCUCACCAGAGGAUGAGUCCGCGGCCCAUCAGCAGUUGGCGGGGUAAAGGCCCACCAAGGCAUAGACGGGUAGCUGGUCUGAGAGGAUGAUCAGCCACACUGGGACUGAGACAC